GUCUCUGCCCAUCCGCGCACCCGGGCUCCGGGCUGGAGAGGGCCGGCUCGCUUCAGGAGGCCGAACCCCGUUCCCACCACCCCUCUCAGCUCAGAAGCGGGGUGCUGAGUCACGGGGGGGGGUGGUUCUGUGGAUAGUUGGAAUGCAUACACAGAGGAAAGGGGGAUGCGGCACCAGGCUGUACCGCCAGGAAAUGGGAUUGCAUGACUGACAGCAGAUACCAUGUACCCAGAGGCCUGGAUACCUGUGUGGAGUUACUAGCCCUGGCCCCUCCUCUGCCAACCUCAGCUGGCUCCCCUGUUUGGGCGCAGGCCCAGUGCUUGCCUCCUACUCCGUUCUCCGUGACCAAGUCAACGGGCCCUGCCCUCCCAGGACGUUUCUAACAACAUCCACCCGCUGAGAGCCACCCAGAGAAUAUAAGGAGGAGGCUGGCUGGCCGCUGCAGGCCUCUCACAGAUCCAUCCCUGCUCACUAUCCUGCAGCAGACAGAGAGAUAGGACCCCAGCCAGCCCCUGUCCAGGCAGCGGGAGCAGCUUAUCACAGGCAAGGAAGAUGCUGCCGAUAACUAUGCCUGGGGCCACUACACCAUUGGGAAGGAGUUCAUCGACCUGGUACUGGACCGGAUUUGGAAGCCACUUCUCUGCGCUUUGACGGGGCCCUCAAUGUGGACCUGACAGAGUUCCAGACCAACCUGGUGCCCUACCCUCGCAUCCACUUCCCCCUGGCCACCUAUGCACCAGUCAUCUCUGCAGAAAAGGCAUACCACGAGCAGCUGUCGGUGGCAGAGAUCACCAAUGCCUGCUUUGAGCCUGCCAACCAGAUGGUGAAGUGUGAUCCCCGGCAUGGCAAGUACAUGGCCUGCUGCCUGCUGUACCGUGGAGAUGUGGUGCUCAAGGAUGUCAAUGCUGCCAUUGCUGCCAUUAAGACCAAGCGCAGCAUUCAGUUUGUGGACUGGUGCCCCACAGGCUUUAAGGUUGAUAUCAACCACCAGCCACCCACUGUGGUGCCUGGGAGUGACCUGGUAAAGUGCAACAUGCCAUGUGCAUGCUGAGCAACAUGACAGCCAUCACUAUGGCCUGGGCCCGCCUGGACCACAAGUUCGACCUGAUGUAUGCCAAGAGGGCAUUUGUGCACUGGUA
rnacentral:sRNA from 1 species